ACGCUCGACACCUACGGGAGCAGCAGUGGGGAAUAUUGCACAAUGGGGGAAACCCUGAUGCAGCGAUGCCGCGUGAAGGAAGAAGUAUCUCGGUAUGUAAACUUCUAUCAGCAGGGAAGAAAAUGACGGUACCUGACUAAGAAGCCCCGGCUAACUACGUGCCAGCAGCCGAGGUAAUCUGAGCGGGCUGGCAAGGC
rnacentral:rRNA from 1 species